CACGUAGGGCGCAAGCGUUGUCCGGAAUUAUUGGGCGUAAAGAGCUCGUAGGCGGUCUGUUACGUCUGCUGUGAAACCCAGGGCUUAACCCUGGGCUUGCAGUGGAUACGGGGCAGACUAGAGGCAGGGUAGGGGAGAAUGAAAUUCCUGGUGUAGCGGUGAAAUGCGCAGAUAUCAGGAGGAACACCAGUGGCGAAGGCGGUUCUCUGGGCAUUACCUGACGGUGAGGAGCGAAAGUGUGGGGAGCGAACAGG
rnacentral:rRNA from 1 species